CUUUGGUCAGGAGCUAGCGCAAAGAGCCUUCUUUACGCCACCAAUGAAUAAACGCCACACUAUAUUUCUACUGAAAACCCAAUACACUUCAACACACACAAUUAUAACUCAAUCUCCAACACGUAUCAGACCUGCCUGAAGAACUAAACAGCUCCAACGCCUAAACCCAUUCCACCUCCUUUCCAUAUACUACCGGACCUCCACCUCGCCGCUGAAACUGCCGCACACGUCAGUAAGGAGCUAGCGCCGCCGCACCGGAGCUCCACCUCGUCGUUCAAGGGCUUGUUUCUCUACCUACGAUGCUGGUUUGGCACUAUGGUUCUUGAUUUUGAGCGAUUCUUGGUCAUAUAUUGACUACUUGUUCUUUUUUUGACAUGAAUGUAUUAUAUGAGUGUGUUAUCUAGAAUAGAAGGGGAAAAUUUUGAGUCUUUCGUUCCUACUCUGUGGCUUUUCUGUUUUCUGUUGUGGGUGUUUUAUUUGCUUUAUGUUGCUUGGUAUAUAGCCCACAAAGCAAAUAUAAGAUUGUUAGGAAAGGAGAGGAGGAGUUAGACGUUGGAGCUGUUUAGUUCUUCAGGUCUGCCUGAUACAUGUUUAAGGAUUUUGAGUUUAAUUGAGUUAUAAUUAUGUGU